CGGGACGGGUGAGUAAUGUCUGGGAAACUGCCUGAUGGAGGGGGAUAACUACUGGAAACGGUAGCUAAUACCGCAUAACGUCGCAAGACCAAAGAGGGGGACCUUCGGGCCUCUUGCUAUCGGAUGUGCCCAGAUGGGAUUAGCUAGUAGGUGGGGUAACGGCUCACCUAGGCGACGAUCCCUAGCUGGUCUGAGAGGAUGACCAGCCACACUGGAACUGAGACACGGUCCAG
rnacentral:rRNA from 1 species